rnacentral:lncRNA from 13 species
UGUCUGAGUGUGUGUGUAUGUCUGAGUGUGUGUGUGUGUCUUUGUGUGUGCGCUCGCUCGCUGCAGUUCCAAAGCUUCAGGAUCCGGUUUGUUCCGCUCCAUCUUGUGUGUCACUGUUUUCUGUUUCCGGUUUGUUCCAGUCCACCUUGUGUGUCACUGUUUUCUGUACCCGGUUUGUUCCAGUCCAUCUUGUGUGUCACUGUUUUCUGUUUCCGGUUUGUUCCAGUCCACCUUGUGUGUCACUGUUUUCUGUACCCGGUUUGUUCCAGUCCAUCUUGUGUGUGUGUCAGUGUUUUCUGUUGCCGGUUUGUUCCAGUCCACCUUGUGUGUGUGUCAGUGUUUUCUGUUGCCGGUUUGUUCCAGUCCAUCUUGUGUGUCACUGUUUUCUGUUUCCGGUUUGUUCCAGUCCACCUUGUGUGUCACUGUUUUCUGUACCCGGUUUGUUCCAGUCCAUCUUGUGUGUGUGUCAGUGUUUUCUGUUGCCGGUUUGUUCCAGUCCACCUUGUGUGUGUGUCAGUGUUUUCUGUUGCCGGUUUGUU